rnacentral:tRNA from 1 species
GCGGGUGUAGCUCAAUGGUAGAGCCCCAGCCUUCCAAGCUGGCCAUGCGGGUUCGAUUCCCGUCACCCGCUCGA